UUAUCCUGAGCUAAAGGGGUUUUGGAACAGAGGUUGUGUAGUAGAGGAAGGAAGGAGUGCAUGGGUCUGGGUGUCAAAGGGAAAGCCACAGUAGUGGUAGGGUGAGAGAAUGCUAGGGCCGUCUAGGUGAUUGAAGGCAUCCUUCAGGGCAAAGGGACCAAAUGUAAGAUGGCGGUUUUGUCACUAAAAUAAAAAAUGGCUGCAGGGGUGAAGCUUCACUAGUGGCGGCACAGUGUUGCAGCUGAAGAAACUGAGACACAUAUAUUACUUUAGAUCAGCCUGUGUCAUGGAAUGUUUGUAUGAAAACUGAGUUCCAGAAUGGAGACACUUCACAAGAGUGAAGCAGGUAUGCAGAUACCAAGUUACAGAUGCUACCAUGAUGCCAACCUGAAUUCCCCAGGCAGAGGACUUCACAGUGUAUCCUGGAACCCCAUCUCUCUGGAACCCUGCCCUACUAGGGAAAGAUAGAAAAAGGCUGGGGGUAUGGAUUGACCUGCCAACAUCCAUGUUCAGCAGAGAAGCAAUUACAGAAGCCAGA